rnacentral:misc_RNA from 1 species
UGAUAACUAGAAAAUGUGCAUUUUUGAAUGGAAAUUUCAUUUUUUUUAAUCAUAUUUGUGAUGUUAUUUUUCUUAUGAGCAUAUACCCUUUUUAAUUUGACACUCAUUGCCACUGAGGUUUGCGGGUUUUAUUUUUAUGGUAUUGCUCUUGGUGUAUGUUGUAAUUUGAACUUGGAAAGUAACUAUGUAUAGCUGGUAAGGGUCCCUUGGUGUAGCCCAAACAUUAAAUGAGAAGAAAAGGGGUGGGGGGUUACUAGGGCUGAGCAAUAAUCAGUUAAAAUACAGAAACUAAACCCAAUCAUUUAAAUUUUAUUUUUUAAAAAAUUCAAUUCAAUUUAGGUUAUGAAUACUGAAAAUUUUGUUAUUCUAGUUCGGAUCGGUUUUGAAAGAAAAACUCAAAAUAACUGAAUUAAACCAAACCAUACGUACAUAUAACUAUAGCAUAUGCUACGCCAUUAGGAUUAUAGUAAAUUCUCUCACAUUUCUUUUUGUCUCCAGCCAUUCCCUUCUUCCCUCUCCUUUCUUUAUUCACACCCUGCCUGUCUCGAUUUCUCCUCCCACCCUCAUGGCUUUUCAUUGCAACUUUUGUCCUUUCUUUCGUCACAUGGUUCACAUCAUAG